rnacentral:rRNA from 1 species
GGUGAGUAACACGUGGAUAACCUACCUAUAAGACUGGGAUAACUUCGGGAAACCGGAGCUAAUACCGGAUAAUAUUUUGAACCGCAUGGUUCAAAAGUGAAAGACGGUCUUGCUGUCACUUAUAGAUGGAUCCGCGCUGCAUUAGCUAGUUGGUAAGGUAACGGCUUACCAAGGCAACGAUGCAUAGCCGACCUGAGAGGGUGAUCGGCCACACUGGAACUGAGACACGGUCCAGACUCCUACGGGAGGCAGCAGUAGGGAAUCUUCCGCAAUGGGCGAAAGCCUGACGGAGCAACGCCGCGUGAGUGAUGAAGGUCUUCGGAUCGUAAAACUCUGUUAUUAGGGAAGAACAUAUGUGUAAGUAACUGUGCACAUUUUGACGGUACCUAAUCAGAAAGCCACGGCUAACUACGUGCCAGCAGCCGCGGUAAUACGUAGGUGGCAAGCGUUAUCCGGAAUUAUUGGGCGUAAAGCGCGCGUAGGCGGUUUUUUAAGUCUGAUGUGAAAGCCCACGGCUCAACCGUGGAGGGUCAUUGGAAACUAAGCC